GAUGAACGCUGGCGGCGUGCUUAACACAUGCGAGUCGAACGGGAAACCUUUUAAUGAAGCUUCGGCAGAUUUAGCUGGUUUCUAGUGGCGGACGGGUGAGUAACGCGUGGGUAACCUGCCUUAUACAGGGGGAUAACAGUCAGAAAUGACUGCUAAUACCGCAUAAGCGCACAGGACCGCAUGGUCCGGUGUGAAAAACUCCGGUGGUAUAAGAUGGACCCGCGUUGGAUUAGCUUGUUGGUGGGGUAACGGCUCACCAAGGCGACGAUCCAUAGCCGGCCUGAGAGGGUGAACGGCCACAUUGGGACUGAGACACGGCCCAGACUCCUACGGGAGGCAGCAGUGGGGAAUAUUGCACAAUGGGGGAAACCCUGAUGCAGCGACGCCGCGUGAAGGAAGAAGUAUCUCGGUAUGUAAACUUCUAUCAGCAGGGAAGAUAGUGACGGUACCUGACUAAGAAGCCCCGGCUAACUACGUG
rnacentral:rRNA from 1 species